rnacentral:rRNA from 1 species
CCUACGGGAGACAGCAGUGGGGAAUAUUGGGCAAUGGGCGCAAGCCUGACCCAGCAACGCCGCGUGCAGGAAGAAGGCUCUAGGGUUGUAAACUUCUUUUGACAGGGAAGAGUAGAAGACGGUACCUGUCGAAUAAGCCACGGCUAACUACGUGCCAGCAGCCGCGGUAAUACGUAGGUGGCAAGCGUUGUCCGGAUUUACUGGGUGUAAAGGGCGUGUAGCCGGGUUGACAAGUCAGAUGUGAAAUCCUGCGGCUUAACCGCCGAACUGCAUUUGAAACUGGUGAUCUUGAGUACUGGAGAGGCAGACGGAAUUCGUAGUGUAGCGGUGAAAUGCGUAGAUAUUAGGAGGAACACCAGUGGCGAAGGCAGUCUGCUGGACAGCAACUGACGGUGAGGCGCGAAAGCGUUGGGAGCAAACAGGAUUAGAUACCCUGGUAGUC